CACGGCCUAUCAGCUUGUUGGUGAGGUAAUAGCUCACCAAGGCGACGACGGGUAGCCGGCCUGAGAGGGUGACCGGCCACACUGGGACUGGGACACGGCCCAGACUCCUACGGGAGGCAGCAGUGGGGAAUAUUGCACAAUGGGCGAAAGCCUGAUGCAGCGACGCCGCGUGAGGGAUGACGGCCUUCGGGUUGUAAACCUCUUUCAGUAGGGAAGAAGCGAAAGUGACGGUACCUGCAGAAGAAGCGCCGGCUAACUACGUGCCAGCAGCCGCGGUAAUACGUAGGGCGCAAGCGUUAUCCGGAAUUAUUGGGCGUAAAGAGCUCGUAGGCGGUUUGUCGCGUCUGCCGUGAAAGUCCGGGGCUCAACUCCGGAUCUGCGGUGGGUACGGGCAGACUAGAGUGAUGUAGGGGAGACUGGAAUUCCUGGUGUAGCGGUGAAAUGCGCAGAUAUCAGGAGGAACACCGAUGGCGAAGGCAGGUCUCUGGGCAUUAACUGACGCUGAGGAGCGAAAGCAUGGGGAGCGAACAGGAUUAGAUACCCUGGUAGUCCAUGCCGUAAACGUUGGGCACUAGGUGUGGGGGACAUUCCACGUUUUCCGCGCCGUAGCUAACGCAUUAAGUGCCCCGCCUGGGGAGUACGG
rnacentral:rRNA from 1 species